rnacentral:rRNA from 1 species
AUUGAACGCUGGCGGCAGGCCUAACACAUGCAAGUCGAGCGGAUGAAGGGAGCUUGCUCCUGGAUUCAGCGGCGGACGGGUGAGUAAUGCCUAGGAAUCUGCCUGGUAGUGGGGGAUAACGUCCGGAAACGGGCGCUAAUACCGCAUACGUCCUGAGGGAGAAAGUGGGGGAUCUUCGGACCUCACGCUAUCAGAUGAGCCUAGGUCGGAUUAGCUAGUUGGUGGGGUAAAGGCCUACCAAGGCGACGAUCCGUAACUGGUCUGAGAGGAUGAACAGUCACACUGGAACUGAGACACGGUCCAGACUCCUACGGGAGGCAGCAGCGGGGAAUAUUGGACAAUGGGCGAAAGCCUGAUCCAGCCAUGCCGCGUGUAUGAAGAAGGUCUUCGGAUUGUAAAGCACUUUGAGUUGGGAGGAAGGGCAGUAAGUUAAUACCUUGCUGUUUUGACGUUACCAACAGAAUAAGCACCGGCUAACUUCGUG